CGAAGGGCGUAGCGUUGUUCGGAAUUACUGGGCGUAAAGACGCACGUAGGCGGAUAUUUAAGUUCAGGGGUGGAAAUACCCGGGGCCGUCAACCCCGGAACCUGCCUUUGAUACUGGGUAUCUCGAGUCCGAGAGAGGUGAGUGGAAUUCCGAGUGUAGAGGUGAAAUUCGUAGAUAUUCGGAGGAACACCAGUGGCGAAGGCGGCUCACUGGCUCGGUACUGACGCUGAGGUGCGAAAGCGUGGGGAGCAAACAGGAUU
rnacentral:rRNA from 1 species